UCCCCACCCCACGUCUCCUCCCAUAUGACAGGCUGCACUCGGCCGUGGAGUGCACAGGGCUGCUGGUGGCCAUGGAACUUCAGGACAGACAUUCUCAGGUAGCAGUGCUGGUGGAAAAGAAACCACUUUCUUUGCAUGCAUUCUCCUCUUUCUUUUCCCCUCCUGGCCCUCAGAGCCCACCCACCACUCUGCUCCCCAUGCGGCCUCUGUUGGUCCCACAUCACUUCCCAGCACAGCCCAAGCCAACUGCAAAGACUCAGCAGCCUCGUGCCAAACAUCCCUGCAGUUUUUCCUUUCCCCAGUUUCUUUACUCACUUUCUUACAGAGUAUGAUAAAUUCAUUUUGUCUCUGACCCUGUGUGCUGUUAUUCAGAGGCAAGUCAAGCUCUGUGCCAGACACUGAGUGGGCCAGAAGCCAGAAACAAUGUGCUGCUCACCAAGCAAAUAGAUGUCUCUUCCACAGAGCCACUCAUGUAAAUUGGACAUAGGCAACCACGCUCAGCGAUUCUUGGGCCGGUCCAGCCUCACCAGAUGGUCCAAGGGAGUUGGGAAGUCACUGAGUGCAAACACAAGUCUUGAGCUCUUUCUGUAGCUGUACAGAUGAGUGAUGUGGGCUGGUGCUGUGGCAUUCCCAGCCAGCCAGCUGGUGGAGGUGGUAGACCAGGCACUACUACUUGUACACGCUGGACGGAUCUGCAGGUUUGUACUGGAGCUUUUCAGGCUGUCAUUGGAGACUGGCAGAUGCAUGGAUCUCACAGAAAAGCAGUCUGAAUUUCACACAGUAUGCUCCUGUUUCUUAUUUCCCUUUUCUGCAUUUGAUCACCUUAAUUGCCUGAGUUCUCUCUAGUGCACAGGUAGUGGGAAAGAGUCAGGAUCAUUACCCAUAUGCACUUUAGGUAUUUCUGUUUCAUGCUCCUUCUCUGGCCAGUGGAGAGAUGUGCAAUUGCAGAUGAUUGAAGCUCAGAGACAGCAGCUGUGCCAUUUUCUUGGUUUAUCUGAUGAUUUAUUUACUUUUUUUCCUAUGCCUUGAUUUUGGGUCCAUCUCCAUGGAGAUACAAAGGUAAAGAACUCUUCCCUUAAUUAUAUCACUGCGUUAAGAGUCCCAGGUAGUACCCUACAGGCAGAGUUUUCUGCUAUCAUGAGUGCAGCUAGAUAGACAGCAUUCGGCCUACUGCAGGACAGCAGAGCCUGCCAGCAUGGUUUUGCUUUUUGCUGUAUUGUUUUUCCUGGAAAGGAAUGUUCCUUCCGACUACAGACAGGAAAGUUGCAAAGAUCACACCACGCUGCAUCAGACAUUGGUGGUUCAAUCAGUUGGACAAGUUCCUGUACACUCAAAAUUUCAAGACCUCACGAUUGCUCCAUCACAAAGCCCACAGCUCAGGAAGAGAGAUCUCCAGGUAGCCAGAAUACAUCUCAGAUAUGAUUAGCAGAAGAAGAUGAAUUCAUUAAUUCCUUCAUAUAGAAAGUCAAUUUCAAGAAAACCCGUUCUUAUUUUUAACAGUUCUCUACAAAAAUUCCUGACAUAAAUAAAGGUUCCUGCCAGCUGCAGGCUACAAGUUGAAAUCAAA